rnacentral:lncRNA from 1 species
UUGAUAUCAAUUUCGCCAUUGGGCUUGGGCAGUAAGUUAGUGCGCUAAAGCUUAUAAAAGUACCCUUGGAAAUUGUUCUGUAAUAAAAUGUUCAUUAACUACUCUUACUAUCAGACAAAGGUCAACAGUAUUAGGUGACCUGAUUGGUUUUCUUUAGAAUUAGAAUGAUUUAUUUUAAGGUUAUGUCCUGAUCUACAAAUUAUUCCAGUUUUUGCAUAUUCAAAUAAACUGUAAACACUGGCAGGCUUAUCAAGCAAAUGACAAUUUCUGCAUGUACAUAGUUGUUUUUUCAAUGGAAUUCUGGUCUUUUUACCAAUAAAAAAAUCAAGCUUGUGGGAAAAAUAUCCAAAAAAUGUUAUAAACACUUAUUGAAG